rnacentral:lncRNA from 13 species
AUGGGUCCUAGCGAUUGUAAAAAAUGUUUUGUUAUUGUCAUGUAUUGUCAUGUUGUGUGUUUCUGUCCUUUCCCUUCACCCUGUCUCCCUCUGCUGGUCGUUGUUAGGUUACCUUUUCUCCUCCUCUUUCCGGGGGGUACUGUCAUGUAUUGUCAUGUUGUGUGUUUCUGUCCUUUCCCUUCACCCUGUCUCCCUCUGCUGGUCGUUGUUAGGUUACCUUUUCUCCUCCUCUUUCCCCCAGCUGUGCCUUGUCUCCUCCUAACUACCCAUUCACCCCGUUUCCCACCUGUUCCCUUUUUCCCUCUGAUUAGGUCCCUAUAUCUCUCUCUGUUUUUGUUCCUGUCCUUGUCGGAUUCUUGUUUGUUGUGUUUCAUGCCUGAACCAGACUAUCGUCAUGUUUGCUGUAACCUUGUCCUGUCCUGUCGGAAUCUGCCGGUCUAUCUGAGCCUACCUAUGUUUGGUUAUUAAAGAAGCUCUGUUUAAGUUAAUUCGCUUUUGGGUCCUCAUUCACUCACCGUAACAGUUAUAGUAAAUGUAAAAGUGAAAGUCAUUCAGUAAAAUACUACUUGAGUAAAAGUCUAACAGUAUUUGGUUUUACAUUUACUUAAGAAUCAAAAGUAAAUGUAAUUGCUAAAAUAUACAUAAAGUAUCAAAAGUAAAAGUAUAAAUAAUUUCUAAUUCCGUAUAUUAGGCAAACCAGGCGGAACGAUUUUCUGUUCUUUUUAUUUACGGAUGUUCAGGGGCACACUCCAACACUCAGACAUCAUUUACAUAUGAAGCAUUUGUGUUUAGUGAGUCUGCCAAAUCAGAAGCAGUAGGCAUGACCAGGGAUGUUCUCUUGAUAAAUGUGUGAAUUAGACCAUUUUCCUGUUCUGCUAAGCAUUCAAAAUGUACUUUUGGGUGCCAGGGAAAAUGUAUGGAGUAAAAAAUAUUUUCUUUAGGAAUGUAGUGAAGUAAAAGUAACAUUUGUGGAAAAUAUAAAUAGUAAAGUAAAGUACAGAUCCCCGCAAUGUGUGUGUGUGUGUGUGUGUGUGUGUGUGUGUGUGUGUGUGUGUGUGUGUGUUUGCGUGUGCAUGUGUCUCUGUCUGUGUGUGCGUGUGCGUGGGCGACUAUGCAUGCAUUUAUUAGAAUGUUUGUGAGAGAGCGAGGGAGAGAGCGAGGGAGAGAGCGAGUGAGAGAGUGUGAAACAUCUGUGUUCCUAAUAUGAAUGUGUUUUUGCCGUCUUUGUCUGGUUGUGUUUUUAUAAGGCCGUUACGAAGAAAUAUUAUGCUGCUGAGGCAUAAAGGAUUUAAAAUAAAUUUGAUCUGGCUAUUCAGCCUUAAUGUCCUUAGUUACACACUGACACAACAUUACCCAAGUAAUGCAGCUGCAUGAAUGAGUGACGUUUAGAAAUAUGAGCUAGUCUCAAUGCAGUGAGUCAUGUAGCUGCAGCUACACAGCAUCUCUGGGAAUGACUGACAUUGACGUUGACCCUUACGGGCACAUUUCCUGAAUGGAUAGACUGAAGUCUAAUUCACCCAGAGCCUCAUCAUCAACUGCCAAGGGAAACAGGCCUGUUCUGUUCUGUGUGUUCCAGCACUGAGAGAAGAGAGAAGAGACAGUGUCUCCUAGUCUAGUCUCUAAUACAGCCUGUUUAUAUGCUUUAUUCAGUCAUUUUUCAUUCAUUUUAAUUAAUUAUAUCAAUAAGCCAGCAUAGAACCCAGCUUUUCGGCGUCCUGCCUUUCUCAACUGCUAAUACAGUCUGGUCAGGGGAGUAUAAGAGGGCUAAGUAGGUGAGGAGAGCAGCAGCUUUUUGAAGUUCUCUUGUCAAAUCUGGUUGGUUGGAGAUUUGACUCUGAGGUAAACUGAGAAAAUGGCACCGAUCAAAGAAAGGGGCAGACUUAAUGUGUAAAAUGUUCCCUCUGUUGAUUCAAGGUCGUAAAGAGCCUAUCACUACCUAUCAUUCUGUUUUCAGUACCGUGGACUGUUCCCUCCCAUAGACUUUGCAGUCACUCUGAUGUAGCGCAAUGCAUUGCUAGUUCCAUUGGUUAUUCUAGUCUGUCUGAUGUAGAACAAACCAUAGCCAGACUCCAAUGGUUAUUGCUCUCCAAAUGCAUUUCUAUAGAUGUAUUCUCGUCAUACUCCUUCAGCACCAUGGACAGCAGUUAUCUGUCUAGCUGGCAGUGGAAAGCUCCACUCAUAUGUACUGGCUGUCCUUCAUCACCAGGGAGAGCUCCCCUGCCAACUCGUCCCUCUGCCUCUGAGCUCUGACUGUUAGUCCACUAGGUAAGCUGCAAAAUGAUUCACUUUGGUGUAGAAGCAUUGAAAUUCGCACGCAACAAAACCUGAUAUAGUCACAAAAAUGCAC